AUGGAUGGCAUGGUGGAAUCCAACAGGGAGGCGGUGCAGAGCUGCCACAAGGUGCUGGACCUCCUCUCCAACCCCCAUGGCCAGCUCGUCCCCCACAAGGACCUCCUGGAGGCCACGGGCGCCGCCGUCGCCAAGUUCGGCUCCCUAGCUUCCAAGAUCGGCAACGGCAAUGGUGGACGACAAGGCCAUGCUAGGUUCAGACAAAGGAUCAAGAAGCCCAUGCCUCUCUUCGACAGCAACCUCUUCCGGGACAGCCCCGCGUCGGCUGCGGCUGCCGAUGCUGCUGCUGCAGCACCACCCAAGACAUCCAGUCCUGGCCCGAGCACCAGCCUCCAGCUGUUUCCGAGGUACCAGCAGAUGGAGGCCUCCUCCUCCAAGGACCCUGUCAGGAUCCCAGCAGCCCAGUUCCCCCAGAGGAUGGUUGUGGAGAACCCGUCGGUCGGUUCGAACGGCCCGGCUCGCGGGCCGCCGCUCCACCUCGUCCAGCCGGUGUCUGUUGCGCCACCGGCGGGGACGCCGGCACCGGCAUUGCCGGCGGCGCAUCUCCAUUUCAUCCAGCAGCAGCAGAGCUACCAGAGGUUCCAGCUCAUGCAUCAGAUGAAGCUGCAGAGCGAGAUGAUGAAGAGGGGCGGCCAUGGUGAUCAUCAGGGUGGCAGCACUGGUGCUGGCAAGGGUGUCAACCUCAAGUUUGAUGGCUCUAACUGUACGGGGUCAUCCUCCCGUUCGUUCCUGACAUCUCUGAGCAUGGAGGGGAGCAUGGCGAGCUUGGACGGCAGCCGCUCCAGCCGUCCCUUCCAGCUAGUUAGUGGCUCGCAGACGUCGAGCACCCCGGAGAUGGGCCUCAUGCAGCAGAGGAGGAGGUGUAUCGGCAAGGAGGAUGGGAGUGGACGCUGUGCAACUGGGAGCAGGUGUCACUGUGCAAAGAAAAGGAAACUAAGGAUAAGGAGGUCUAUCAAAGUCCCUGCAAUCAGCAAUAAGGUGGCCGACAUCCCGGCUGAUGAAUUCUCGUGGCGGAAGUAUGGCCAGAAGCCAAUAAAGGGAUCCCCGCAUCCUAGGGGUUACUACAAGUGUAGCAGCGUGAGGGGCUGCCCGGCGAGGAAGCAUGUCGAGAGGUGCGUCGACGACCCCGCGAUGUUGAUCGUUACCUACGAGGGCGAUCACAACCACAACCGAGCUGCGGCGGCCCAGCCACAGCCAGCCUGA
rnacentral:rRNA from 1 species